ACAGGGAUUGCCCUAGUAACGGCGAGUGAAGCGGCAACAGCUCAAAUUUGAAAUCUGGCGUCUUUGGCGUCCGAGUUGUAAUUUGCAGAGGGCGCUUUGGCAUCGGCAGCGGUCCAAGUUCCUUGGAACAGGACGUCACAGAGGGUGAGAAUCCCGUACGUGGUCGCUAGCCUUUACCGUGUAAAGCCCCUUCGACGAGUCGAGUUGUUUGGGAAUGCAGCUCUAAAUGGGAGGUAAAUUUCUUCUAAAGCUAAAUACUGGCCAGAGACCGAUAGCGCACAAGUAGAGUGAUCGAAAGAUGAAAAGCACUUUGGAAAGAGAGUUAAAAAGCACGUGAAAUUGUUGAAAGGGAAGCGCUUGCAGCCAGACUUGCCUGUAGUUGCUCAUCCGGGUUUUUACCCGGUGCACUCUUCUAUAGGCAGGCCAGCAUCAGUUUGGGCGGUUGGAUAAAGAUCUCUGUCACGUACCUCCUCUCGGGGAGAACUUAUAGGGGAGAUGACAUGCAACCAGCCUGGACUGAGGUCCGCGCAUCUGCUAGGAUGCUGGCGUAAUGGCUGUAAGCGGCCCGUCUUGAAACACGGACCAAGGAGUCUAACAUCUAUGCGAGUGUUUGGGUGUCAAGCCCGAACGCGUAAUGAAAGUGAACGGAGGUGGGAGCCUUUCGGGGUGCACCAUCGACCGAUCCUGAUGUCUUCGGAUGGAUUUGAGUAAGAGCAUAGCUGUUGGGACCCGAAAGAUGGUGAACUAUGCUUGAAUAGGGUGAAGCCAGAGGAAACUCUGGUGGAGGCUCGCAGCGGUUCUGACGUGCAAAUCGAUCGUCAAAUUUGGGCAUAGGGGCGAAAGACUAAUCGAACUAUCUAGUAGCUGGUUCCUGCCGAAGUUUCCCUCAGGAUAGCAGUAACGUUUUCAGU
rnacentral:rRNA from 1 species